CCUCGAACUCACAGUGAUCUUCCUGUCUCAGCCUCCCGAGUGCUGGGAUUGCAUGCACGCACCACCACACCUGGGAGGAGACCUCAACUUUAAACCAGAGGCCCAGCAUGGGGAUGAAGAAAUUGAAGAAUUAUACUGUAGCUGGUAUCACCCGGUCCAGUAAAGUCCAGAUGGACGUCAAUCACCCUGGCAGGCAGACGCUGUGCUGCUGAGCUAAAUACCCAGCCCUGAGAGUUUGCUUUUGUUUCAUGGAUUCUGGUUUGUGACUAAUUCAGGCAAGGUCUUGUGUUCCUGUUUGUACCUGCUGCGUUGGACUCGCUAGUUGCUGAACUUACUGGUGCCCCUUGCGUGACCCGUUGGACUCAUUCUGGCUGCUGUGUGGUUUGUGGUCUUAUUUUAGCUAGCAGCUCUAGGGAAGAGUAAUGUUAGAGCGCCCCCUGGUGGACCUUGAUACUAACCAAAAUGUGAAUUUAUGAAACGCUGUAAAAUGGA